UUGGCAGCAUCUUUAUCACAGACUUUCCAGAAAUCUGUCGCAGACUUGUUAAGCCAUCAAAAAACCUUAUUUAGUUCUAGCUCUAGGCUAUGGGACUAUGAGAGGACUCCGAGACGGUGUCCAAGUGAGAUGGCUGGCGAGGUUGUUCGAGGUCAUUUCAUGAUGAGGAUGGACCAGACUUUAAGACAUUCUGAGCUCCAUGAAUGUCAUGAGACACUCCAGGAGACGGUGGUUGCAAUGCAUUAUCAACACCCCGCAACCCCAACCCUCCAAUGGAACCCAGAACCCUCCGGAGUUCCUCAGGACCUGUCGGCAUGAGUGAGGCGAACACAUCGUGCGUUGGAGGAAGAGUUGCAGUGACGACUUGGACCACAGGCCAGAAGCCUGAAAUAGAUUCUUUGAGAAUCUUAAAAGUCAAACAACUGGGCCUUGCGGGGAAGACUGAUGACGUGAGAAAAAAAGGAAAAAUUUGAUGGGCAGACGUGAGCGGCAGUGGUGCUGGUGGCGCAGGAUGUCCUGGAGGAGGACGACCUCGACUACCUCAAAGGAGCUGAUUCUAGCCUUGUGCCUGAUGGGGAAACAAGUGCACAUUUGUUGUGCUCUGUCUGAGAUGGAGAAGUGUGCGCCUUGCUGGAGUACUUCAAUUGAUGCCAGCAAGCCCAGCCAGCGAGUGACCGAUAGUGGCCGGUUCUCCCUUCGUGACCCCCCCCCCCCUUCUGCGGCCGACAAAGCUUGAAAUAUGAUUAAAUGUAAAUGUAAAAUAAGCAAUUAAAGAAAGAACAUUCAACAAAAUAAUUGUCUGUUAUAAUAUGAUUUUAGCUGGGAUUUAGCAGUAAUUUAAAGUUGGCCUAAUUGUUGUUUUGCAGUAGAUUUGUGUCUAUUAUAUUAUGUUGAAAGAAGUAUACUGCCUUACAAAGGCAAAGUGCAGUAACCAAUUACCGUAGGUUCAUUCUGAAAA